rnacentral:rRNA from 1 species
UCCUUAGAUGUCCUGGGCCGCACGCGCGUUACACUGAUGCAUUCAACGAGCUUAUAACCUUGGCCGAGAGGCCUGGGCAAUCUUGUUAACGUGCAUCGUGAUAGGGAUAGAUUAUUGAAAUUAUUAAUCUUGAACGAGGAAUUCCUAGUAAACGCAGAUCAUCAAUCUGCAUUGAUUACGUCCCUGCCCUUUGUACACACCGCCCGUCGCACCUACCGAUUGAAUGAUCCGAUGAAUACCAUGGAUUGAGAGUACGAAUAGGUUCGCUUAUUUCUGCUGCUCGAGAAGUGGAGUAAAUCUUAUCAUUUAGAGGAAGGAGAAGUCGUAACA